rnacentral:rRNA from 1 species
UACGUAGGGUGCGAGCGUUAAUCGGCAUUACUGGGCGUAAAGCGUGCGUAGUCGGUUAUUUAAGUCGGGUGUGAAAGCCCCGGGCUCAACCUGGGAAUUGCAUUCGAUACUGGAUAGCUAGAGUUCGGCAGAGGGAAGCGGAAUUUCCGGUGUAGCGGUGAAAUGCGUAGAUAUCGGAAGGAACAUCAGUGGCGAAAGCGGCUUCCUGGACCAGAACUGACGAUCAGGCACGAAAGCGUGGGGAGCAAACAGG